GAUGAACGCUAGCGGGAGGCCUAACACAUGCAAGCCGAGCGGUAUUUCUUCUUCGGGAGAGAGAGAGCGGCGUACGGGUGCGGAACACGUGUGCAACCUGCCUUUAUCUAGAGGAUAGCCUUUCGAAAGGAAGAUUAAUACUCUAUAAUAUAUUAAUUGGCAUCAAUUGAUAUUGAAAACUCCGGUGGAUAGAGAUGGGAACGCGCAAGAUUAGCUAGUUGGUGAGGUGACGGCUCACCAAGGCAAUGAUCUUUAGGGGGCCUGAGAGGGUGAUCCCCCACACUGGUACUGAGACACGGACCAGACUCCUACGGGAGGCAGCAGUGAGGAAUAUUGGUCAAUGGGUGCAAGCCUGAACCAGCCAUCCCGCGUGAAGGAUUAAGGUCCUAUGGAUUGUAAACUUCUUUUGUAUAGGGAUAAACCUACCCUCGUGAGGGUAGCUGAAGGUACUAUACGAAUAAGCACCGGCUAACUCCGUGCCAGCCGCCGCAGUAACAC
rnacentral:rRNA from 1 species